GACGAACGCUGGCGGCGUGCUUAACACAUGCAAGUCGAACGAAGAGCGAUGGAAGCUUGCUUCUAUCAGUCGUAGUGGCGAACGGGUGAGUAAGGAGUAAUCAACCUGCCCUGGGGAAGGGGACAGCAGUUGGAAACGACUGCUAAUACCGCAUACGAGCUAAUCUGGGCAUCGAGGAUAGAUGAAAGGUGGCCUCUACAUGUAAGCGAUCACGGAAGGAGGGGAUGUCGUGGGCUUAGCUAGCUGGUGGGGUAACGGCCCCCCAAGGCGAGGAUUAGUAGCCGGUCUGAGAGGAGGAACCGACACAUUGGGAAUGAGACACGGGCCAGGACCCUACGGGAGGGAGCAGUGGGGGAUCUUCCGAAAAGGACGAAAGUCUGACGCCGCAACGCCGCGUGAGGGAUGGAGGCCCUCGGGUUGUAAAGCUCUGUUAAGCUGGACGAAAGGCCAUCUUGCGAAUACUGAGAAGGAUUGACGGUACCGACAUAGAAAGCCACGGCUAACUACGUG
rnacentral:rRNA from 1 species